rnacentral:pre_miRNA from 1 species
UUGGGGUGAGGUAGUAGGUUGUAUAGUUUGGGGCCCUGCCCUGCUAUGGGAUAACUAUGCAACCUACUGUCUUUCCUGA